CCUACGGGAGGCAGCAGUGGGGAAUUUUGGACAAUGGGCGCAAGCCUGAUCCAGCCAUGCCGCGUGCAGGAUGAAGGCCUUCGGGUUGUAAACCGCUUUUGUACGGAACGAAAAGACUCCUUCUAAUAAAGGGGGUCCAUGACGGUUCCCGAAGAA
rnacentral:rRNA from 1 species